rnacentral:lncRNA from 1 species
CAAAAGUUAUAGCGAAAAAACGAAAUAUUGCAAUUUUUUAAAAUUCCCGCCAUUUGUCCCGCGAGAACGGAAGUUGGAAAAUAAAAAUCGAUUAGAGGACCGCAAAGUGUUAAUUAUGAUUAGUUAAAAUCCACAUCUACAGGACCAUUCACCAAACUUUGCCAGAGUGACACACUGAUGAAAGCCUAUCCAUAGCAAGAUCAAACUUUAUACCAAUACUGUACCCCUUUAAUAGGAUGACUUUUACCAGAAAGAUAGCUAAAAAGACUAAGAAAAACAUGUCUGCUAGCAGAGCACCAACAUUAUUUAAUAGACUUAGAAAUGAAAAAGACCCGAGAAAGGAGCAUGAAAAAUCAGGUGCAUAUAGAAUACCAAUCACAAACCAGGUGACUCAAGAACAAGCCAAACCAGGUGACUCAAGAACAAGCCACUUAUCUCAGCAUAAUUAAUAGAACUUUAGCCCAACAUCUGCAGGAUCUCAAAAACAAUAUAGCUAAAGCCAAAUUAACAGCAGUACUUGUUGUGCAAGCAUAAACUACUGAUUUUAGUAUACACUGGGACCAAGCUAAGGUCAUAAAACCAGUUAAUGUUAGCCCCCAAGCAUUAAUAACAGAAACCAUAGAAAUCUUAAAAAGGUGCAAGACACAGAAUGACUCCUCAAUGACUACUAAGGAACCCAAAUACCUUCAGCUUGGAGCUACCUACUACAAGAUUGGAAAAGGAACCACCAAAAGCCAGAAUCCUCUGCCACACUGAAUUAGCAUCCCACGAACUGAGAGAAGAAAUCCUAUGAACCAGAGCAUAAGGCAAACUACUAUUCCCUUAAUGCUGAUUUUAGAAGCAUAUUAAACAUGUAUAUUCCAACUAAUGGAGCCCUAUACGAAAGAAUAAGCACUCCUUCUUUAAUAGUCAACAUUUUAUUUAUUUUAUAUUAUAG